rnacentral:misc_RNA from 1 species
GAUGAAGAACGCAGCGAAAUGCGAUAAGUAAUGUGAAUUGCAGAAUUCAGUGAAUCAUCGAAUCUUUGAACGCACAUUGCGCCCGCUAGUAUUCUGGCGGGCAUGCCUGUCCGAGCGUCAUUUCAACCCUCAAGCCCCCGGGCUUGGUGUUGGGGAUCGGCGAGCCUCCGCGCCCGCCGUCCCCUAAAUCUAGUGGCGGUCUCGCUGUAGCUUCCUCUGCGUAGUAGCACACCUCGCACUGGGAAACAGCGCGGCCACGCCGUUAAACCCCAACUUCUGAACGUUUGACCUCGGAUCAGGUAGGAAUACCCGCUGAACUUAAGCAUAUCAAUAAGCGGAGGA